CUUGUCAGCAGCAGUGGGAUAAUGGCUUUGGGGAGAUGGCAGCAGGCACAUGAACAUCCCGCUCUUGCAGCUGCUGAGGAGGUUGAUCUCCUGGGCUUGGCUGGAGGAGGUGGCACCUGUGUUGAGUAAUUGCUGAAAUCCAAUCGAUCUGGGAUGACCCCAAAUGACAGUUUAGUUUUCAGCUUGCUCGAGCUGUAUCUCAGCAGCUUUUGGGUAUCAUUUUUGGCCCCCAGACAGGACACCUCUGCCUGAUCUCCCGCGGAUCCGAGGGAUCUCUGGAUCUUCACGCCAGCACCAGGACUUUGCUGCAGAAGAGCACAGAUCCCCAGCCCAGUCUGGGACACAGAACCUGUGAAAGGGCAGAAAGAUUGUGGUGUGAAUGCAGCGCCCUCAGAGCCCUUGGUGUGAGCCCGGAAAGGAAAAUCCAGCUGAGGGACAAGAUCAGUCUAAUUUGGGGACAUUGUUGGAGGUUGGAGUUGCAGUUCUGGAAGAAAUCCCUGAGGAAAUGGUGCCCCAGGGAGAGGAAGAGGAUGAGAGCGUGGGCAGCCUGCUUCAAACAUCCCCCCAGGAGACUUGGGAUCAGUCCCUGUGCAUCCUGUAAGAAAGAUGGACACUGGAAAUGGGAUUGUCCGCAACUGAAACUUCAGAACCCUCCGAACCCUCUCGUGGCAUCACUGAAGACGACUGAGGGGGCACCAGAGGAUUCUUCCCCAUCAGAACAUCUGGUUCCAGCCAAGCUAAGCACAAUUGUUUGUGGCUGUGGGAACUUGUUCCUCUGUGUUAAAUCCAGGGAAAUGAAACUCAAGGGACAAUUCUAGAACAAUUGUCUGGUGUGCCAGGGAAUUGGGAAACUGGGCCAUUUUUAAUGCUGUGGCUUUGAAAUUGGGAAAACAGUGGUUGGCUCCCCAGUUUUUGUAUUUCCCCAAUUCCCCAAAGCCUCUGCUUGGGAGAGAUCUCUUGGCAAAAUGAAAUGCCACAAUCCAAUUGAAAAAUGGUCCAAUAUAGGUUAUUAUUGCAGAGCCUAAUUCUGUGGAAGUUUCUAGUUUUGCAUGAGAGUCUCUCAAAGCAGAAGUAAUCCAUCUGCCACCAUCACUUGGGGAUGCAGUGGUUCCAACAGGAUGGGCUGGAGAGGUGCCUCCAUGAUCCAAGAGAGCAGAACCCGUGAGAAUUCCAGAGAAACCUGGAGUGGGGUUGGUGAGGCCAAAGCAAUGUCCUUUGCAAAUAGAAAGUUGUAAGGGAUUCUCACCCUUUGUAGAACAAUUGAUGAAAUUUUGCUUGUGAAAAGAAUGUGAAUCUAAAUGGAAUGCUCCAGUUUUGCCAGUCAAGCAGGCAAAUGGAAGGCUAUGCCAGUUAGUCCAAGACCUUAGAGCUGUAAAGAACAGAGUAGAAGAUAUACAAGCAGUCAUAGUGAAUCCUUACACUUUGCUAACUCCCCUAAAUGAGGGUUUAAUAUGUUUCACAGCAUUAGGUUUGAAAACUGCCUUUUUGUGUCUCCCUUUGAGUUGGGAAAGUCAAGAGCUUUUUGCUUUCCAAUGGGAAAAUGCAAAGCCGGGGAGGAAAACCCAUCUGACUUUGGUGGUCCUCUUGCAGGGGUUUAAAAAUAGGCCCCAAUAUUUGGAACUCAAUUGGCAAAGGGACUGGAGGAAUGGAGAAGUCCAAACCCACCCUCUUGGAGCCUUAUUGCAGUGUGGGGAUGAUCUUUUGAUGCCACUGAUGCUGAGCAGCAACGUUGGGGUCAGACUGUGGCCCUGUGGAAUUUCCUUGGGCUGAGUGGAUAUGGGGUAUCCCAAACACAAAGUGCAAGUAGUCCAGAGCCCAGGAGCCUCCGUGGGCUUUGGAAUUCUCCAAGGACAAGGGAGGCUGGGCCAGGAAGGAAAGAAGCAACCUGUCAACUGCCCCAGCCCCAGCAAAGGAAGCCCAGAGCGGGAUUGCUUCCAGACUAGAGGAGAAGUGUAUUGGGGCAGAGCUGACUUAGGAGACAGCCCCUUGGAAAGUCCUGGUUGGGAAUUGUUUCCCAGUGGGGGCAGCUUUGUCCGGCAUGGAAAACAAUUCUCUGGAUGCACAGAACUCCCCACCACCAGGUCAGAGAUCCUGACAGAGAUCCUUCUCCCAGUAGAAGAAAAUGAGUCUAGUGCUAAGGAUUGUCAACUCCUUGAAACCUUAGAGCAAACUUUGCUCCAGGAGGCUGGGCAGUUCCCCCAAGUGGGCAAAUAAUAGUCCCUGAGCCAAUCUCCUGUGACCUGGUGGAUGGGGAACAUGAGGGGAUUCCUUGGAGUGAAGCAAAUUAUUGAAACAUUUGCACAAGUGGGUUCUUGGUCCAAAACUGACCCCAGUUGUACAAGCAGUGAGUCAGCAGUGUGGUGUGUGGAAGAGAAAUAAUCCAAACCCUGCCACUGGAGUGGGAACAGGUGAUGGAAAAUGCAGAAAUGCUGCAGGUGAAUGUUGGCAGAUGGAUGUGACUGAAUUGCCCAGACAAGGGGGGUGUAAAGAUCUCCUGGUCUUGGGGGAUACCUUCUCUGGGUGGCCAGAGGCUGUUCCUUGUUGCACUAAGCAGGUUGGGAAAGAGACUGCAAUCCUGUUCAGUGCAAUCCUCCCUGUAUUUGGGAUGCCUUUGGGAAUGUCAUCAGACAGAGGUUCCCACUUGACUGCAGAAACAAAAUGCUUCACUCUUGUUUUGCUCUUCUGACAACAGUUCAAACACUGUUGACGUGGGAGGAAAAUUUACAUGUCUUUUUAGUGCCAAAGGUGAUCCAAGUGUUGCCCACAAGUGUCUGUAUUAAGUAAGCAAGACUCUGUAAGGAAUCUGGAAACUGUGUGUGUAAUGUAAAGCCCUGUGUGGCUGUCACUGAAGUGCUGAGGCUGAACAACAGCCCCUGAGCCAAAGCUGAGCUCUAGAUGAACCUUCCAACCUAAUGGGCUGUGUCUCCAUGUAUCUGCUCCUGAGCUAAAACUGGGUCUAUUUGUUGGUACAAAUGUGGUGGGAUGGGACUCCACCUGUGUAUCUGCUCCUGAACCAAACAGGUGUGCUUCUUAGGAAGAUCUGUUAGUCUGGGCUCAUCAGUGAAUCCUGUUUGUAUCUGUUCCUUAACAAAAGAUGUCUGAUUGUGAGCAAAA